AUUGAACGCUGGCGGCAGGCCUAACACAUGCAAGUCGAACGAGUGGCGGACGGGUGAGUAAUGUCUGGGAAACUGCCUGAUGGAGGGGGAUAACUACUGGAAACGGUAGCUAAUACCGCAUCCCAUCAGAUGUGCCCAGAUGGGAUUCGCUUGUUGGUGGGGUAACGGCUCACCAAGGCGACGAUCCCUAGCUGGUCUGAGAGGAUGACCAGCCACACUGGAAGUGAGACACGUUCCAGACUCCUACGGGAGGAAGCAGUGGGGAAUAUUGCACAAUGGGGGAAAGCCUGAUGCAGCCCUGCCGGGUGUAUGAAGAAGGCCGUCGGGUUGUAAAGUACUGUCGGCAGGGAGGCGUUACCCGCAGAAUAAGCACCGGCUAACUCCGUGCCAGCAGCCGCGGUAAUAC
rnacentral:rRNA from 1 species